rnacentral:rRNA from 1 species
CCUACGGGAGGCAGCAGUGAGGAAUAUUGGUCAAUGGGCGCAAGCCUGAACCAGCCAAGUCGCGUGAAGGAAGACUGCCCUAUGGUUUGUAAACUUCUUUUAUAGGGGAAUAAAGGUAUCCACGUGUGGAUGUUUGUAUGUACUUUAUGAAUAAGCAUCGGCUAACUCCGUGCCAGCAGCCGCGGUAAUACGGAGGAUCCGAGCGUUAUCCGGAUUUAUUGGGUUUAAAGGGUGCGUAGGUUGUUUUUUAAGUCAGCUGUGAAAGUUUGGGGGUCAACCCUAAAAUUGCAAUUGAUACUGGAAGUCUUGAGUGCGGUUGAGGUAGGCGGAAUGCGUGGUGUAGCGGUGAAAUGCAUAGAUAUAACGAAGAACUCCGAUUGCGAAGGCAGCUUACUAAGCUAUAACUGACACUGAUGCUCGAAAGCGUGGGGAUCAAACAGGAUUAGAUACCCCUGUAGUC